CUGCAAGCCUCCAGCAUGCUUGGGUCUGGGGCGACCCUGUGCAUUCUUACAGUACUUGGCGAGAACAUCAUGAAAUGGUUUGAGGCUUUUUCAUGCUCCAUUCAAAGCAAGUUGAUAGACAUUUCAGAUAAUU